UACGUAGGGGGCUAGCGUUGCUCGGAAUCACUGGGCGUAAAGGGUGCGUAGGCGGGUCUUUAAGUCAGGGGUGAAAUCCUGGAGCUCAACUCCAGAACUGCCUUUGAUACUGAGGAUCUUGAGUUCGGGAGAGGUGAGUGGAACUGCGAGUGUAGAGGUGAAAUUCGUAGAUAUUCGCAAGAACACCAGUGGCGAAGGCGGCUCACUGGCCCGAUACUGACGCUGAGGCACGAAAGCGUGGGGAGCAAACCGG
rnacentral:rRNA from 1 species